rnacentral:rRNA from 1 species
GAGUUUGAUCAUGGCUCAGAAUGAACGCUAGCGGCAGGCUUAACACAUGCAAGUCGAGGGAUAUAGUUCUUCUUAAUCAAAGACCGGCGGACGGGUGCGUGACGCGUGUGCAAUCUACCUUUCUCAGAGGGAUAGACCACGAGAAAUUUGGAUUAGUACCUCAUAGUAUAACGACUCCGCAUGGGGAUGUUAUUAAAGCCCCCACGGUGAAAGAAGACCAUGCGUCACAUUAUCUAUGUGGUGAGGAAAGGGCUUACCAGGGCUACUAUGGGUAGGGGUCCAGAGAGGGAGAUCCCCCACUGUGGUACAGACACACGGACCACACUCCUACGGGAGGCAGCAGUGAAGAAUAGUGGACAGUGGGAGCAAGCGUGAUCCACCCGUGCCGCGUGCAAGAUGACGGUCCUAUGGAUUGUAAACUGCUUUUGCACAGGAAGAAACCACGCUACGUGUAGCGGCUUGACGGAACUGAGAGAAUAAAGAUCGGCUAACUCCGUGUCAGCAGCCGCGGUAAUACGGACGAUCCAAGCGAUAUCCGGACUCAUUGAGUGUAAAGGGUCC